rnacentral:rRNA from 1 species
UACGUAGGGUGCAAGCGUUGUCCGGAAUUAUUGGGCGUAAAGAGCUCGUAGGCGGUGUGUCGCGUCGGCCGUGAAAACCUGCAGCUUAACUGUGGGCUUGCGGUCGAUACGGGCAUCACUGGAGUUCGGCAGGGGAGACUGGAAUUCCUGGUGUAGCGGUGAAAUGCGCAGAUAUCAGGAGGAACACCGGUGGCGAAGGCGGGUCUCUGGGCCGAUACUGACGUGAGGAGCGAAAGCGUGGGGAGCGAACAGG